rnacentral:rRNA from 1 species
UACGAAGGGGGCUAGCGUUGCUCGGAAUGACUGGGCGUAAAGGGCGCGUAGGCGGUUUGUACAGUCAGGUGUGAAAUUCCCGGGCUCAACCUGGGGGCUGCACUUGAUACGUAUGGACUGGAGUGGGGAAGAGGGUCGUGGAAUUCCCAGUGUAGAGGUGAAAUUCGUAGAUAUUGGGAAGAACACCGGUGGCGAAGGCGGCUCUCUGGGGACGGUACUGACGCUGAGACGCGAAAGCGUGGGGAGCGAACAGG